UAGGUAAUUAUUUUAAUUAAAAUAUUUGAUUUCGGCUCAAAAGCUCGUGGUUAAAGUCCACAAUUACCUAA
rnacentral:tRNA from 1 species